CGGGUAUAGCUCAAUGGUAGAGCAGCAGCCUUCCAAC
rnacentral:tRNA from 1 species